UGAUCUUAAACACAAGAGAUUCUGCAGACGCUGGAAAUCAGAGCGACACACAUAAAAUGCUGGAGGAACUCAGCUGGUCAGGCCGCAUCUAUGGACAUGAAUAAACAGUCGACGUUUCAGGGACAUUAAGAACUUCACGUACUGCAGGUCUACCCCAUCAACGAGCUACUAGUUGGUGGGAGGAGCUGGAGUUGGUGCAGACCACGUUACUGCCAGCUACAGGAAGGCAUCGGAGACAGUGUGCAAAGACGGCGCGCAAUCUAUCACCCAGUGACUGUCUUGGAUAUUCCUCUUGUGUUGGAUAUUGAUAACGUGAAACGCUGCAGAUCCGUUUCCUUCUUUACUGCAAGUACAGUUCCAGGUGACUCAAUCUCUCCUCAUGGUCUAACCUCUUCAUCUCUGGAAUCAACCUGGUGAACCUCCUCUGCACGACCUCCAAAGCCAAUAUAUCCUUCUUCAAGUAAGGAGACCAGAACUGCAUGCAGUACUCCAGGUUCUUUUGAAGACCCUGGCCUAGAGUUACAUGCUGACUUUGGUUCUUUGUGGAAAUGGGAAUCACUCUCGGGGCCUCAUGACUGGCCACUUUUCGAUAUGCCAAGGACGCGGCCUGGAAGACAGGGUGCCGGAUUUUCAUGGCUCUGGAGGCGGGUGGAUUCAAGGCCAGUACCACCGUCGCCCGAUGCGUCGUGGGAGAUGGAAGAUCGUAAGCAGCAAGCUGGCUGCUGGCUGUGUGCCCAGUGACCCAAGUUCUUUGGGCACAGACCAUGGAAGAAGUGACGCAACAGACUCUUAACACCAUAAAUCAAUGCUGCUGGACCUCCUGAGUUAUUCUAGCUUUUGGUGUUUCCCGAAGUUUCUCUACGUUCUUGUCCGUAUUUUGUCAACCAUUUUAGCACUAGUUGCGUCUGCUGCUAUUGCUUUUAAGAUUCCUCUCUGAAUGCUUAUUGGGGUGUUACACUUUCCAUGGUAUUACUCAAAGAGGAAACAUGAAGAAACCGCCAAUGAUUUGAGCAAUAGAUUCCUGCACAUGUUGCCAUUUGAUACAUGGUGUAACUACAUCUUCAACGUGCGUGGCAGAUCGCUUUCCCCACUCUCUCACACAUUGAUGGUGCUUUCAAUGGUCACUUGCAACCCUUUUACACAAUGGAUAUCAUUGCCUUGAUCUUAUGCCAGAAGCUUAUACUGCACCCUCUCUCUGACAGUAAAGUAGUCAAACUCAAAGUCAAAGCAAAUUUAUUAACAAACUACACUCAGUAGCCACUUUAUUAGGUAACUACUGUGACUUAAUAAAGUGGCCAUUGAGUGUAUGUUCAUGGUUUUCUGCUGCUGUAGCCCAUCCUCUUCAAGAUUCGAUGUGUUGUGCAUUCAGAGAUGCCUUUCUACACAGCACUGUUGUAUCUCAUGGUUACUUGAGUUACUGUCGCCCUCCUGUCACCUUGAGCCAGUGUGACCAUUCUCCUUUCAUCUCUCUCACUAACGAGGCAUCUUCACCCACAGAACUGCUGCUCUCUGGAUGUGUUUUGUUUUUUUUUUGCACCGUUCUCUGUAAACUCUAGAAACUGUUAUGUGUGAAAGUCCCCGGAGAUAGCAGUUUCUCAAACCAACCAGUCUGACACCAAGACUCACUCCAUGGUCAAAGUCACUUGGAUCACAUCCCCCCCCCCCCAUUCUGAUGUUUGGACUGAGCAACAACUGAGCCUCUUGACCAUGUCUGCAUGCAUUGAGGGGCUGCCACAUGAUUGGCUGAUUAGAUUUGCAUUAACGAGGUGUACAGGUGUACAGUUAUAUCUAAUAAAGAGGCCACUGUGUAUGCAUUUACAGGAAAAUAAAGAAAUACAGUAGAAUUUAUGAAAACUCUACAUAAAUAAAGUGAAAACAACCAAUAUGCAAAAGAAUUCAGACUGCAUAAAUUAAAAAAAAUUGAAUAACAAUACUGAGGACAUGAGACCAUAAGAGAUAGGAGCAGGGUUAGACCAUUUGGCCCAUCUAGUUUGCUUUGCCAUUCCUUCAUGGCAGAUUUAUUGUCCCUCUCAACCUCAGUCUCCUUCCUUCUCCCAGUAACCUUUGAUGUCCUUAGUCAUCAAGAACCUUUCUACCUCUGUUUUAAAUAUUGGCCUUCACAGCCGUUUGUGGCAAGGAUUUCCACCGAUUCACCCCCCCUGCCCCUCUGGAUAAAGAAAUUUCUUCUCAACUUGGUUCUAAAGUGAGGUCCUUCUAUUCUGAGGCUGUGCCCUCUGGUCCCAGACUUCCACUGCUAUAGGAAACAUCCUCUUCACAUCCACUAGGCCUUUCAAUGUCCAAUAGGUUAAAAUGAGAUCCACCCCCCCCCCACCAUUCUUCUAAACUCCAUUGAGUACAGGCCCAGAGCCAUCAAACACUCCUCACAUGUUAACCCAUUCAUUUCCAGGAUUAUUCUCGUGAACCUCCUCGAGGCCCUGUCCAAUGCCAGCACACCCUUUCUUAGAUAAGGGCCCAAAAGUGAGGUCUGACCAAUGCCUUAUGAAGCCUCAGUAUUGUUCUGGUGGGUCCUGUUAGGUUUCUGGUUAACAGUGAUCUACUGUGUAAGAGGAGACUUGGUGAUAGUGACAGAAUUGAAAGUCAAGGGAAAAUGCCUUGAUAUCCUGUUGUUGGAAAUCAUAAUUGUCUGGCAACUUGUUGAAGUGGAUGUUGUUAGUCAUCCAUUUCAUCGGCCUAAAUGGGAGUGCUGGCAAGACAUGCUGCAUGCUGACACGAGCUGAUUCCUUCGCUGAUGAUUUCCAAAUGAUACUGAAUUUAUACAGCCAUGUACAGUACUGAACAAAUGUCUUAGACACACAUGUAUAGCUAGUGUGCCUAAGACUUUUGCAAAGUACUGUAGGAAAUAUUGCACUGUACUGCUGCUGUAGAAAAGUAACAAGUUUCAUGAUAUAGAAGGGGUGAUUGAUAAGUUUGUGGCCUAAGGUAGGAGGGGUCACUUUUAGAA